CUUUGCUCUUGACACCUUCCAUCCUUUUGGAAAAAUUCCCCUUUUUUUUAAGCUGUCUUGUCACUUGUCAUGAAAUGCUUAGGCUGAACCAUGUUACAUUUCCAUCCCUAGCCAUUAGCUAGUAAUUACUUGCUUCUUGAUAUGCUUUAUAUCUUGGAUUGAAUUGUGCGGAAUAGGCCUAAUUCCAGUCUCCCUAGGAUAUUGUCUUCUGUAUCACUGAGGAGACCUAUCUUCAUGCCAGCACAACUGAGAUCUGGAAUCUUAUCCUAGCUCCCUUAUGUGUUGGAGUCCCCAGCUAGGAGUUGUGCUUACGGCAGAGAGCACUAAUGACAGAGGAGUAGAAUACAGUGAGCCAAAAUGCUAGCAUAAGGGGUGGAUUUUUAAAAAAUAUUUGUGAGCAACAAAUUGAGGGUUUUCUUAGCAAAUUGUGUUGUAGACAUUCAUUUUCCCCUCUUAUAGCAUAUUUUGAUUAAGUAGAAGUGCAACACUAGCCUAAGGUAAAUUAGGAAAUCAGUCCUUUGGAUGCAAUUCCUUGUUGUGUUUUUCUUUCCAUUCCUGAUGAACAACAUUUUGAUGUUGCUGAAAUACCUACUGCCUGAUGAUUUCAAUCCCAUUCAUGCAGCAUAACUUAGGAAGUAGAUAUCAAACUUUUGAAAGAUCUCAUCUGCUUCCUCAGUCACCAGUGACCAAGUAGUAACACCUGUAUAUGGGAAGGUAGGGGGGGUCAUGUACUGAGGGAGGGGAAUCCGUUUUAUCUUCAGAAAUGUUAUCAAUAGAAUGACUUAGAUUUAAUGUUUUAGACAUGGUAUCUUGCAUAAUGACCCCAUAUGGAUCAGGAAGCCUAAAAAAACACCGGAAAAAAAUGAUAAGAUAUAAUAGCUUUUGUUUCAAGAAAACUUUUGGCCUGUAGCGGUACAAGCAUGGUGCAACCCAUUGCUGUGAAUGCGUAUGGCUAGGGAGCUGCUGCUCUUCCAUCACCCACCCCCUGUUAUGAACCCAUCUGUUGGGUAAGAAAUCCCUUAGUGUGUCAUCCAACAGUGUCGUGCAAACUGGAGGGCAGAAGGGAGGCAGAGAAGGAGGAGGGAAGAUACAUAAGGAUAAGUGGGCCAAGAGGUAAGUAUUUGUGGAGUUACCAAGAGCAUAGUUGGAGAUAGGCUGGGAGGAGGCCACUGAGGCAGCAGCACAGGGUCUGGAGUGCCAGGAAGAGGGAAGUGGAGCUGGGAAACGAGGGUGAAGUACCAGGCAGGAUGCAUCCAGCAGGGAAGGACCCUAUGGUUUCAUGACUUAUGCAUCUCAAGUUUGCACGUUGCGUGGUUGGGGGAGACACCUGAGGAAUUCCAUGUGGUGUGGAGUUUAUGGAAGGAGCAGGUUGUUGGACUGACAUCCGCAGGUCUAAGGAAAAUCUUCUUUUCAAAAAGGGAAAAGGAAUGGCUCCCAUUAGAUGAGGUUCAGGCCAUUAAUGGUUCUGUAGUACUGCUGCUGCACGGAACCCACAGGAUUACCAGCUGCAUGUUUUUGAUAGAACCAGAGUCAUCCUGGUUUCUGUUUCUGCCAUCUUUCCCUGAGCGACUACAUGGAAUCUCUCUUCCCAGUCAUAUUGGAAGCCAUUUCCUUCUACCUCAAGCAUAAUCUGAAUCAUGUGUGUUAAGACAGUUACCAUAAUAAGAUGUUACCAACUUGCCUUUUUCUUGCUUGUAAACUAGAUAAAAAGAGAUUUGGGAGUCCUUUGUGGUGAUAAUAAGGUCUGUUACCUUCAGUCUCAUCAGUGAAUCUUCUUGUACUUGGAUCAGGUGUAAUCAGAGUUCUUACAUGGUCUUCUGAUUGGCAUCAUGUUCCUCUUCUUACUCCUUUUGAUUUUUCUCUUAGAAAUGUAUUUAUUUAAGAUAAAAAAGCCUUUUAGACUACAGCAAGAUUUGUGAAUAGCAUUUGCCUGCUUUCAAAUCAGCAUUUUCCCCCUGCCCCCAUUCAGAGCAUGUAAACUGAUUUUUCAGUGUCUAUGGUUCUAAUCUCCGCAUAAGUAACAUAGACUUUUAGAUUCUUUUCUCAAGGGAAGCACAAAGCUAUCAAGGUCCUGAUGGAGCGUUAGUACUUCUGGAAAGCAAAAAUGCAUGUUUGUAAAAUCCUGAAAGAUAAUUUAUUUUUCUAACAGAUAUUACUGGUUUCAAAUUGUAGUGAUGCAAAUAUUAUAGCAAAGAGAAUCAAAAUUGAAAGUGGCAAUAUACAAAUGUUUAACAAUACAGAUUGGACGUCCAGGGUGAAGGAAAUGAAAACAUAAGCAUAUAACACAAAGAGUAAAACCAAAAUGGAUUUCUAGAAUUUGUCAUUAGUCAGGGGCUUUGCUACUCCACUGGAAGGAUGCUUCUUGAGUUGAGUGGGAUGUUGAAGAUGGCUACUUAACCAUGCUAACUUGGGGACAUUUUCAACAAAAAAAAAUAAUCAUAAUAUUAAGGAGUGAGGGCUUCAUUUGCAGUUUUUGAGAGUCAUGUGGUUUGAGAUUUCAGUCUUUACAUAAAGAACAUUUCAUUCAAAAGGCAAGAAAAAUAUGGAGACUAGCUGUUAGACCGUUAAUAGUGCUGGAUACCCCUUGUUACUCAGAGAUUACUAUGGUAAGAGUGCUAGAAAAUACCUUUUAAGAUAAAAGAUAACACUAAAAAUGUCACUUCUGGCUUCUUUGCCAAAUAUUCUCAUGCUUGAACUAGAAAACUUCCCUUUUUAGCCUGUACUCAAUAACGCGAUAGGGUGCAAUUACCUUAACAUGGUAUAAUGUCAUCAGCUGAGCUGCUUCCUAAGUGAAAGGUGCUGACCUGAGUCAUCUUCACUGAAACUUCCCUUUCAGUUGGGAUGGGAAAUGAUGGGCAGUGCUCAUCACCAGUUAAAACAACUCAAGGAACAAGUCAGAACUCAUUUAGCCCAUCAUACUGCUGAACCUAGUGUGUACCCGUAAGAUAUCAAACAGACUUAAACCAGCAGAUUGUGGAUAGCUGGCUAAUUGAAGAGCUCUAAAAUUGGUAAAUCUGUAAUUUGUUCUUUGAGCUGAAUGAGAUGCUGAAUUCAGGUUGUAGAUUUCUUGUAAAGAUCUUGCAUCAUUGCAAGCACACUGUUAGACUAGGAUAAGAAUCUUCUUGGUGACAAUGGCUGAUGUCUAAAAGUGGAGAACAAGGUCUGAUACGAUAGUGAGUUGGGAACUAGACAUCAGUCAUUUUCUGUCACUCCUUUGCUUUGUUGACUUGGACAAAUCUACUUGAACAUCUCUGCUUCAUUUUCCUUAUUCAGAACAUUAGAUUGAUAUUUCCAGAAAAGCGUGUUGCCAUGCUUAAUUGCAAUAUAUUUUUUCAUCUUGGAAGAUGAAAAGCAGUGUUCAAGAAAAACUGUGUGGUCUUGCUUCUCUUGUUCCUCCUUAAUAUGCUGUCAUGUACCUAAUGAGAGAAUUCCUAGCUCAGCCAAAGGUGUGCCCUCACUUCUUAAGCUUCACGACUUCUGUCCAUGCAGAAUCAUACCAGCGUAACUGUACAAUAAUAGCUAUAUUGUUAAUUGCUUAGCUGGCAGGGGAGGAAGGAAUGAACUCCAGCUUACACCAACAGUUUACUGGUAAAACCUACCUUGUGCUGCUGUAUUCAUAUGUGCAACUGCACUCAGUUUGGUGUCCAGUUGGUAACUUUCAGAGUAUAUGCUCAUCAAGUGCAAUUGCUUCUGUAAGUAGCUUAAGUUAUGUCUCACUUUGUUCCGUGAAUGUGAAGCUCAUGUGGAUACUGUAUUACCUGUGGCAAUGCAGACAGUCCUUCAUUAAUAAUACAAGAACACUCUGGGUUUUCUGGUCCUGAGAAGAGAAGGAGCAGUGCAAGGACACUGCCAAAUUACUGCAGGAAUAAAGAUGCUUGUUUAGAUGUUCCAAAAGACUUCUAGAAACUCACUAUAGCAAAGAGUAUCAAAAGUGCUGGACAAAGGAGAGAACUAGCAACUGUCACACCAGCUGAAGAACAGAAUGUGUGCACCUGGGGCUGCUCUUCUGACCUGUUAUGGUUGUGCAGAGCUGUAUGCCAGGAUGGGCAUGUCACAGCAGGGAACACUGGGCACAUCACAGCACCAUUCUGAAGGAGCCGUGAAAGCGCAGGCUGACAAUGAGCUUGUGGAGACGAGGUCAGAAGAUUCUGAUACUGCAGAGAGCUGGUGGCUCCUUGAAACUCAACCUAACCGACCUCAGAUGAAUCCAGAAAUGGUAUCACCCUGGGAGAAAGAAUGGAGCUCAGAGGCUUCAGAUGGAGAAUUUGGAGAAGCGCCUUCUUCACACCUGUGGAAAACUUUGCAUGAGAGAAAGAAAGGAUAAUGUGUUCUCCAAAUUUUUCAAGAGCACCAAACCAAGAUUUCUAUGAAACAAUGCAGUCGGGGGGAAUGCCUGCUUGAAGAAAGGCAGAAGAACGGGAGUGGGACACAAGAAUGUGGAUGAAGAACUUAAGUAUCUCUAGAGAGGGCAAACGUAGAUUCAACAAAGCUUUAUGAGACAAAACCUCCUGAGAUGUAUGCUCCAACAGGUCAGCUCUGCAUCCCGCUGCCCUCAUGGUGCUUUCCCAUGUAUCUGCUGGCCAAGUGACCAGGGUAGCAUGCCACAAUUUCUCUUCUGCACAGUCCCAGUGGAAACCUCAGAAUUGGGUAGAAACAAGAAAUUUCCCCUGGUUUUCUAGCCUGAUUAUCUUGAGUAACAAGACAUGGGAAAUCAUGGCAUGCCUCUUUUUGUCUGCUGGUUUGCAUACCUCUAGAGAGUUCUCUCUCUUCCCCCUCUUACUUUUGGACAACUUUUGGCCAAUUUCAAGAUAAAGAUCAUAGAUGAAUAGGAAUCUCAAAGCCUAUAAAGUUUUUACAACAUUUGGGAAGAGAGAUGAUCCAGCAGAUGAUAGAAUCCAGACAGGAAAGAGGCCUUUUAGAGAUCCAAACCAGGAAGAUGGCAUUAACUGAAGUUCAUAACUGGUUUUUAUGCAGAAGUCAAUCAGACACAAGAAAUGAAGUUAUAAGAAACCAUGGUCUGUUCUUUGUGGUGCUCACAGACCAACUGCUUAAGUGACUGUAAUUGUUUUGAGAAGUGUUUUUUAUCACUUCUUAAUAAAGUUGUUACAUAUAUUAUGUGUAUUAUUUGUCUCAUAACACCCGAAUUUCUACUCUGAUAUCAGGGAAAUAAAACGGGCUAACCAUUAAUUUAAAA